rnacentral:rRNA from 1 species
AUACGUAGGAUGCGAGCGUUGUCCGGAUUUACUGGGCGUAAAGGGCGAGUAGGCGGCCUGUUAAGUCUCAUGUGGAAUCUCCCGGCUCAACUGGGAGGGGCCAUGGGAAACUGGCGGGCUUGAGGGCAGCAGAGGAAAGUGGAAUUCCCGGAGUAGCGGUGAUAUGCGUAGAUACCGGGAGGAACACCAGAGGCGAAGGCGACUUUCUGGGCUGUCUCUGACGCUGAGGCGCGAAAGCAUGGGGAGCAAACCGGAUUAGAAACCCGGGUAGUCA